rnacentral:lncRNA from 1 species
ACUGCAGACAGAAGAUAAGUCAGGCUAAAAAAUAAAAAAAAGUUUACCAAAGAUACUUACCCCGAUAAUGGUUGGUUAAAAUGAUGAAAACAUCUCGACCACCGACCAUUUACUCCGGCACUCCCGAUCAGUCGGAAGAAGAGUCGUCUGGCAUAGUCGCUUGGCCAGUACAGAAUUAACCAGGGCCAAUUCAUUAACGAGCAUUUGGAGGUCGAAGUGCACCGCAUGGCCCUC